CAGACGUUUGGUGAGUAGCGUCACCACGGACCCGAGCUAACGAGGAGGGGCUUGAGCCCCCCUCCCACGCCUGGCUGCACACAGCUGAGCCAAUGGGGUUAAGCUUGUGCAAUGUGUUUGGACUUUUAAGGCACUCAAGGAGGCGACACGCCCUCUUUUCGCACAUGCUUCAUGUAUACGGCUCCCCUGAGCUGACUUACCCACGAGAAACUAGCAGCUACCUUUUAAGCAAAGCUACAAUGAGUUGAAGGUUUUGGUGGCAGCAGUGGCAGAGCUCACGAGAAAACUGGUGCCAAUAAGUGUGCAGAAGUAUGGCAAAAGACCUGCAACUUUGCAUUGGAUAACCUCAAGAUCUGAUCAGUGACCUGGAGUUGCUUUAUGGCCCCAGUUUUUUGCCGGCCGUCAUAUCAGCGACUUUGAAGCAUGGGAUGCUGGUGCAAACCAAGUCGUAGAUGACUGUGGGUUCCCAGAGGGUGACGAGGCCAGCUAUUUGAAAUGCAGCCACUGUGACUUCACGAGCUAUGAUGCAGCUGCGCUCAUCGGGCACCAGCAGCAC